CCUACGGGAGGCAGCAGUGGGGGAUAGUGCACAAUGGGGGGAACCCUGAUGCAGCGACGCCGCGUGGGUGAAGGAGGGUUUCGGCGCGUAAAGCCCUAUCGGCAGGGAAGAAGGAGGACGGUACCUGACGAAGAAGCCCCGGCUAACUACGUGCCAGCAGCCGCGGGAAUACGGAGGGGGCAAGCGUUAUCCGGAUUUACUGGGUGUAAAGGGGGCGCAGACGGCAGCGCAAGCCAGGAGUGAAAGCCCGGGGCCCAACCCCGGGACUGCUCUUGGAACUGCGCGGCUGGAGGGCAGGAGGGGCAGGCGGAAUUCCUUGUGUAGCGGUGAAAUGCGUAGAUAUCAGGAGGAACACCGGUGGCGAAGGCGGCCUGCUGGACUGCGACUGACGUUGAGGCCCGAAAGCGUGGGGAGCACACAGGAUUAGAUACCCUUGUAGUC
rnacentral:rRNA from 1 species